GCGCCCAUAGCUCAGUUGGUAGAGCGGCCGUCUUAUAAGCGGCAGGUUCCUUGGUUCGAGUCCAAGUGGGCGCA
rnacentral:tRNA from 1 species